rnacentral:rRNA from 1 species
GAAAAGAAACUAACAAGGAUUCCUUAGUAACGGCGAGUGAACAGGGAAAAGCCCAGCACCGAAGCCUGUGGCCAUUUGGUUAUUAGGGCAAUGUGGUGUUCAGGUCGUUCCGCGAAGGUACUGCUCCAUUCUAAGUCCAGCAAUGAGUACGGUAACGCUGACAUGGCCCAAAGAGGGUGAAAAGGCCCGUUGGGGUGGAGCACAGAGACGCCAGUGCCUUCCUGGAUAGACCUUGGAGUCGGGUUGUUUGUGAAUGCAGCCCAAAGUGGGUGGUAAACUCCAUCCAAGGCUAAAUACUAACACGAGUCCGAUAGCGAACAAGUACCGUGAGGGAAAGUUGAAAAGUACUUUGAAGAGAGAGUAAACAGUGCGUGAAACCGCUCAGAGGUAAACGGGUGGAGUUGAACUGUGAACUCUGUGGAUUUAGCUGGUGAGUGUGGUUUGAGCUUGGUCAAAUUGGUUGAUACUUGGGGUCUGCGUAGCAGCAGGUCUCCGCCUUUUGGUGGGGAUGCGCGAUACACUUAUCAAGUGUUGCGCGCCUCAGGUUUAUUCGGGCCAGCUUGCCAGUGCACUUUCGCAGAGUGGUCACCACGACCGGCAUUGCUGUCUGACUGUUGCGGUUAAACCGGCCUUGCAUCGCACUUGUGGCUUUGGAUUGUCGGGAUGGCAGGUAGCUCGUUGGCUUGCUUGUGGUUCGCCACAAGAUUCGGUCCUCGGGUGUAAUCAGCUGACCACAUCGGUUCUGUGCAGUAUGUCGGAGACGGCGGCUUGUGGUGUGUGCGUGCGUAUCAGUUGGCUGGCGUGUCCGAGUUUGGUUGUUAUGUUGCCUGUGUUUACAGGCCUGAUGAUGGCUCGGAUCCGUUUGGUCGGCGGUUGCGUGCGUGUCACUUAUCAGGG